GUUUCCCCAUUCGUGUUUUCUAGCUGCUGGUGAGCCACCGCAAUGUAUGUCAUGUUCGUGCCUGUUUGCUGUUCAAGAUGCGAUAUACCACGCCCGUGAGGAGACUGGACACGACAAAGAUUACUUUCCGUUAGAUGGUCCAGCUACAGUGGAAGUCACACAGUUGAAAUGUCUAGUUGAUCCUUCACAAUUUAUUAUAUAACUAUUCAUUGAACAACAUUAAUUGAUUAUGUAGAAUGAAAGCAUUGAAGAAUAAAGCAUUGAUUAUGUAAAAUUUAUAGAAUGAACUAACAUGUAACGAAAGGUAAUAUAGAACUGUACGGUUCCAGGAUUUUAUCUCGAUUCCGCUUUCGGUCUUUUGAGGGUGGAAGAACCUCCAUUCUGUUUCGGUAUUUUCAAAAGACAAUCAAUUCAAAACAUUCGCUCAAAAAAUUGUAAAUAACAUAAAAAAAAACUUAUAGCAAGUUAAAUGAAGCGAAAACAUUAUACUCUUAAUGUCUGCUUCCGAUCGAGGGAAAUGGUUUUGUUCUUCCGAGAGUCUCAAUGUUUCCCGAGACGAAGUCGAUGGAUCGAAACAUUGAGAUUAGAGGGGAAGUAAACUAACUAUUUCCUAAGGGAACAUAUAUUAAGUGUUUUGUAGCGAGGAAAGAACGAUCACAACCUCGUACCCAGGGUCUUUUCUCUUGGGGAGAAUAUACCCCGGUAGAUGCUGGUCACGUGAUCUGCUAAAAUCUGACAGAUUUCUAAUUAACUAUUUUGGAUUCCUUCACGACAAUCCUACAAGAUACAAAUUAUAAAUUAAACUAUAAAAAUCAUCCAAAUAUCAAAAUUUAUCGACCUCAUCUUGGAUUGCUAAUUAAGAAUCUGGUAGAUUUUAGCAGAUCACGUGACCAGCGUCUACCAGGGUCUUUUCUCCCCAGGGGGAAGACCCUGGGUACAAGGUUGGAAUUAACGUUCAUUCAAGAAUCGUAUUCCAUGACAAAAACCCUAUAGUGUAAACGAGUUUAAAAUUAAAAGAACCUAUUUAAGGUUACAGAACACCUUUGAGUAUUAAUUUUGCCUAAAAUAUUUUUAUUGGUUUGCAUGAAAGCAUUAGACUAAUUUUACUCUGUGACCAAGUUUGGAC